rnacentral:rRNA from 1 species
CCUACGGGUGGCAGCAGUAGGGAAUAUUGCUCAAUGGGGGAAACCCUGAAGCAGCAACGCCGCGUGGAGGAUGAAGGUUUUCGGAUUGUAAACUCCUUUUGUUAGAGAAGAUAAUGACGGUAUCUAACGAAUAAGCACCGGCUAACUCCGUGCCAGCAGCCGCGGUAAUACGGAGGGUGCAAGCGUUACUCGGAAUCACUGGGCGUAAAGAGCGCGUAGGCGGGAUAGCAAGUCAGAUGUGAAAUCCUAUGGCUUAACCAUAGAACUGCAUUUGAAACUGUUAUUCUAGAGUAUGGGAGAGGUAGGUGGAAUUCUUGGUGUAGGGGUAAAAUGCGUAGAGAUCAGGAGGAACACUCAUGGCGAAGGCGACCUGCUAGACCACAACUGACGCUGAGGCGCGAAAGCGUGGGGAGCAAACAGGAUUAGAUACCCGAGUAGUC